rnacentral:rRNA from 1 species
CUACGGGGCGCUGCAGUGGGGAAUAUUGCACAAUGGGCGCAAGCCUGAUGCAGCCAUGCCGCGUGUAUGAAGAAGGCCUUCGGGUUGUAAAGUACUUUCAGCGGGGAGGAAGGGAGUAAAGUUAAUACCUUUGCUCAUUGACGUUACCCGCAGAAGAAGCGCCGGCUAACUCCGUGCCAGCAGCCGCGGUAAUACGGAGGGUGCAAGCGUUAAUCGGAAUUACUGGGCGUAAAGCGCACGCAGGCGGUUUGUUAAGUCAGAUGUGAAAUCCCCGGGCUCAACCUGGGAACGGCAUCUGAUACUGGCAAGCUUGAGUCUCGUAGAGGGGGGUAGAAUUCCAGGUGUAGCGGUGAAAUGCGUAGAGAUCUGGAGGAAUACCGGUGGCGAAGGCGGCCCCCUGGACGAAGACUGACGCUCAGGUGCGAAAGCGUGGGGAGCAAACAGGAUUAGAUACCCGAGUAGUC